AUGAACGCUAGCGACAGGCUUAACACAUGCAAGUCGAGGGGCAGCACAGGUAGCAAUACCGGGUGGCGACCGGCGCACGGGUGAGUAACGCGUAUGCAACUUGCCUAUCAGAGGGGGAUAACCCGGCGAAAGUCGGACUAAUACCGCAUGAAGCAGGGAUCCCGCAUGGGAAUAUUUGCUAAAGAUUCAUCGCUGAUAGAUAGGCAUGCGUUCCAUUAGGCAGUUGGCGGGGUAACGGCCCACCAAACCGACGAUGGAUAGGGGUUCUGAGAGGAAGGUCCCCCACAUUGGUACUGAGACACGGACCAAACUCCUACGGGAGGCAGCAGUGAGGAAUAUUGGUCAAUGGCCGAGAGGCUGAACCAGCCAAGUCGCGUGAGGGAUGAAGGUUCUAUGGAUCGUAAACCUCUUUUAUAAGGGAAUAAAGUGCGGGACGUGUCCCGUUUUGUAUGUACCUUAUGAAUAAGGAUCGGCUAACUCCGUGCCAGCAGCCGCGGUAAUACGGAGGAUCCGAGCGUUAUCCGGAUUUAUUGGGUUUAAAGGGUGCGUAGGCGGCCUUUUAAGUCAGCGGUGAAAGUCUGUGGCUCAACCAUAGAAUUGCCGUUGAAACUGGGGGGCUUGAGUAUGUUUGAGGCAGGCGGAAUGCGUGGUGUAGCGGUGAAAUGCAUAGAUAUCACGCAGAACCCCGAUUGCGAAGGCAGCCUGCCAAGCCAUUACUGACGCUGAUGCACGAAAGCGUGGGGAUCAAACAGGAUUAGAUACCCUGGUAGUCCACGCAGUAAACGAUGAUCACUAGCUGUUUGCGAUACACUGUAAGCGGCACAGCGAAAGCGUUAAGUGAUCCACCUGGGGAGUACGCCGGCAACGGUGAAACUCAAAGGAAUUGACGGGGGCCCGCACAAGCGGAGGAACAUGUGGUUUAAUUCGAUGAUACGCGAGGAACCUUACCCGGGUUUGAACGCAUUCGGACCGAGGUGGAAACACCUUUUCUAGCAAUAGCCGUUUGCGAGGUGCUGCAUGGUUGUCGUCAGCUCGUGCCGUGAGGUGUCGGCUUAAGUGCCAUAACGAGCGCAACCCUUGCCACUAGUUACUAACAGGUAAAGCUGAGGACUCUGGUGGGACUGCCAGCGUAAGCUGCGAGGAAGGCGGGGAUGACGUCAAAUCAGCACGGCCCUUACAUCCGGGGCGACACACGUGUUACAAUGGCGUGGACAAAGGGAAGCCACCUGGCGACAGGGAGCGAAUCCCCAAACCACGUCUCAGUUCGGAUCGGAGUCUGCAACCCGACUCCGUGAAGCUGGAUUCGCUAGUAAUCGCGCAUCAGCCAUGGCGCGGUGAAUACGUUCCCGGGCCUUGUACACACCGCCCGUCAAGCCAUGGGAGCCGGGGGUACCUGAAGUCCGUAACCGCGAGGAUCGGCCUAGGGUAAAACUGGUGACUGGGGCU
rnacentral:rRNA from 1 species